rnacentral:lncRNA from 1 species
AUGGUAGACUACUUAUGAAGUCUAAAAGAAGAGCCUAUCCAUUUUCAUUCAGGAGUAUGCCUGAAGAGGUGUUUCCGCUGCUCUCAUAUCCACAGGAAAAGGAAAAAAGGGGAGGAGAGGUAUUAUCAGCAAAUCAAAAGUUGCUGAAUGCCUUUCCCUGGCUGGGAAAAUUUUGACUUUGCAAAUUUACACACUUCCAUGACAAUAUAAAUGAGGUCUUCCCAGGCAUGACCGAGCUGUACCUUGCUGGCUUACAGCCUUGGCAGCACUGUCUGAUAUUACAGGGUGAGUACUUUCUUCUUUGCUCCUGCUGAUGUUGCCCAGAGCAGCCAGACUGGGAGAAUGAGAAGAGCUUCAUCUCAGUUGGGCCAACAAGAGUUUUUAAUAUCUGCCUUGGGUUUAC